rnacentral:rRNA from 1 species
CCUACGGGAGGCAGCAGUGGGGAAUAUUGCACAAUGGGCGAAAGCCUGAUGCAGCAACGCCGCGUGAGCGAUGAAGGCCUUCGGGUCGUAAAGCUCUGUCCUCAAGGAAGAUAAUGACGGUACUUGAGGAGGAAGCCCCGGCUAACUACGUGCCAGCAGCCGCGGUAAUACGUAGGGGGCUAGCGUUAUCCGGAAUUACUGGGUGUAAAGGGAGCGUAGACGGCAGUGCAAGUCUGGAGUGAAAUCCCCGCGCUCAACGUGGGAACUGCCUUUGAAACUGGCAAACUGGAGUGUGUGAGAGGAUAGUGGAAUUCCAGGUGUAGGAGUGAAAUCCGUAGAUAUCUGGAGGAACAUCAGUGGCGAAGGCGACUAUCUGGCACAUAACUGACGCUGAGGAGCGAAAGCGUGGGUAGCAAACAGGAUUAGAUACCCUGGUAGUC